rnacentral:rRNA from 1 species
GACGAACGCUGGCGGCGUGCCUAAUACAUGCAAGUAGAACGCUGACUACUUUAGCUUGCUAGAGUAGAAGGAGUUGCGAACGGGUGAGUAACGCGUAGGUAACCUGCCUACUAGCGGGGGAUAACUAUUGGAAACGAUAGCUAACACCGCAUAACAGUGUUUAACACAUGUUAGAUGCUUGAAAGAUGCAAUUGCAUCACUAGUAGAUGGACCUGCGUUGUAUUAGCUAGUUGGUGGGGUAACGGCCCACCAAGGCGAAGAUACAUAGCCGACCUGAGAGGGUGAUCGGCCACACUGGGACUGAGACACGGCCCAGACUCCUACGGGAGGCAGCAGUAGGGAAUCUUCGGCAAUGGGGGCAACCCUGACCGAGCAACGCCGCGUGAGUGAAGAAGGUUUUCGGAUCGUAAAGCUCUGUUGUAAGAGAAGAACGUGUGUGAGAGUGGAAAGUUCACACAGUGACGGUAACUUACCAGAAAGGGACGGCUGACUACGUGCCAGCCGCCGCGGUAA